CAAAUUAUACAACGAAGAGUUUGAUCCUGGCUCAGGAUGAACGCUAGCGACAGGCUUAACACAUGCAAGUCGAGGGGCAGCAUAAAAGUAGCAAUACAUUUGGUGGCGACCGGCGCACGGGUGAGUAACGCGUAUGCAACCUACCUAUCAGAGGGGAAUAACCCGGCGAAAGUCGGACUAAUACCGCAUAAAACAGGGGCACCGCAUGGUGAUAUUUGUUAAAGAAAUUCGCUGAUAGAUGGGCAUGCGUUCCAUUAGGUAGUUGGUGAGGUAACGGCUCACCAAGCCGACGAUGGAUAGGGGAACUGAGAGGUUGGUCCCCCACACUGGUACUGAGACACGGACCAGACUCCUACGGGAGGCAGCAGUGAGGAAUAUUGGUCAAUGGGCGAGAGCCUGAACCAGCCAAGUCGCGUGAAGGAAGAAGGAUCUAUGGUUCGUAAACUUCUUUUGCAGGGGAAUAAAGUGCAGGACGUGUCCUGUUUUGUAUGUACCCUGAGAAUAAGGAUCGGCUAACUCCGUGCCAGCAGCCGCGGUAAUACGGAGGAUCCGAGCGUUAUCCGGAUUUAUUGGGUUUAAAGGGUGCGUAGGUGGUUUGAUAAGUCAGCGGUGAAAGUUUGCAGCUUAACUGUAAAAAUGCCGUUGAAACUGUCGGACUUGAGUGUAAAUGAGGUAGGCGGAAUGCGUGGUGUAGCGGUGAAAUGCAUAGAUAUCACGCAGAACUCCGAUUGCGAAGGCAGCUUACUAAGCUACAACUGACACUGAAGCACGAAAGCGUGGGGAUCAAACAGGAUUAGAUACCCUGGUAGUCCACGCAGUAAACGAUGAUUACUAGCUGUUUGCGAUACACAGUAAGCGGCACAGCGAAAGCGUUAAGUAAUCCACCUGGGGAGUACGCCGGCAACGGUGAAACUCAAAGGAAUUGACGGGGGCCCGCACAAGCGGAGGAACAUGUGGUUUAAUUCGAUGAUACGCGAGGAACCUUACCCGGGUUUGAACGUAGGGAGACAGGGGUGGAAACAUCCUAUUCAGCAAUGACUGCCUACGAGGUGCUGCAUGGUUGUCGUCAGCUCGUGCCGUGAGGUGUCGGCUUAAGUGCCAUAACGAGCGCAACCCUUAUUUUCAGUUACUAACAGGUGAUGCUGAGGACUCUGAAGAGACUGCCAGCGUAAGCUGUGAGGAAGGUGGGGAUGACGUCAAAUCAGCACGGCCCUUACAUCCGGGGCGACACACGUGUUACAAUGGUAAGGACAAAGGGCAGCUACCGGGCGACCGGAUGCUAAUCUCUAAACCUUAUCUCAGUUCGGAUCGGAGUCUGCAACUCGACUCCGUGAAGCUGGAUUCGCUAGUAAUCGCGCAUCAGCCAUGGCGCGGUGAAUACGUUCCCGGGCCUUGUACACACCGCCCGUCAAGCCAUGGGAGCCGGGGGUACCUGAAGUUCGUAACCGCAAGGAUCGACCUAGGGUAAAACUGGUGACUGGGGCUAAGUCGUAACAAGGUAGCCGUACCGGAAGGUGCGGCUGGAACACCUCCUUUCUGGAGC
rnacentral:rRNA from 1 species